AUUGAACGCUGGCGGCAUGCUUUACACAUGCAAGUCGAACGGUAACAGGGAGCUUGCUCCUGAAUUCAGCGGCGGACGGGUGAGUAAUGCCUAGGAAUCUGCCUGGUAGUGGGGGACAACGUUUCGAAAGGAACGCUAAUACCGCAUACGUCCUACGGGAGAAAGCAGGGGACCUUCGGGCCUUGCGCUAUCAGAUGAGCCUAGGUCGGAUUAGCUAGUUGGUGAGGUAAUGGCUCACCAAGGCGACGAUCCGUAACUGGUCCGAGAGGAUGAUCAGUCACACUGGAACUGAGACACGGUCCAGACUCCUACGGGAGGCAGCAGUGGGGAAUAUUGGACAAUGGGCGAAAGCCUGAUCCAGCCAUGCCGCGUGUGUGAAGAAGGUCUUCGGAUUGUAAAGCACUUUAAGUUGGGAGGAAGGGCAGUAAGCGAAUACCUUGCUGUUUUGACGUUACCGACAGAAUAAGCACCGGCUAACUCUGUGCCAGCAGCCGCCGUAACAC
rnacentral:rRNA from 1 species